AUAGAGUCAAGUGAAUAAGUGCAUCAGGCGGAUGCCUUGGCGAUGAUAGGCGACGAAGGACGUGUAAGCCUGCGAAAAGCGCGGGGGAGCUGGCAAUAAAGCUAUGAUUCCGCGAUGUCCGAAUGGGGAAACCCACUGCAUUCUGUGCAGUAUCCUAAGUUGAAUACAUAGGCUUAGAGAAGCGAACCCGGAGAACUGAACCAUCUAAGUACCCGGAGGAAAAGAAAUCAACCGAGAUUCCGCAAGUAGUGGCGAGCGAACGCGGAGGAGCCUGUACGUAAUAACUGUCGAGAUAGAAGAACAAGCUGGGAAGCUUGACCAUAGCGGGUGACAGUCCCGUAUUCGAAAUCUCAACAGCGGUACUAAGCGUACGAAAAGUAGGGCGGGACACGUGAAAUCCUGUCUGAAUAUGGGGGGACCAUCCUCCAAGGCUAAAUACUCAUCAUCGACCGAUAGUGAACCAGUACCGUGAGGGAAAGGCGAAAAGAACCCCGGGAGGGGAGUGAAACAGAACCUGAAACCUGAUGCAUACAAACAGUGGGAGCGCCCUAGUGGUGUGACUGCGUACCUUUUGUAUAAUGGGUCAACGACUUACAUUCAGUAGCGAGCUUAACCGGAUAGGGGAGGCGUAGGGAAACCGAGUCUUAAUAGGGCGAUGAGUUGCUGGGUGUAGACCCGAAACCGAGUGAUCUAUCCAUGGUCAGGUUGAAGGUGCCGUAACAGGUACUGGAGGACCGAACCCACGCAUGUUGCAAAAUGCGGGGAUGAGCUGUGGGUAGGGGUGAAAGGCUAAACAAACUCGGAGAUAGCUGGUUCUCCCCGAAAACUAUUUAGGUAGUGCCUCGAGCAAGACACUGAUGGGGGUAAAGCACUGUUAUGGCUAGGGGGUUAUUGCAACUUACCAACCCAUGGCAAACUCAGAAUACCAUCAAGUGGUUCCUCGGGAGACAGACAGCGGGUGCUAACGUCCGUUGUCAAGAGGGAAACAACCCAGACCGCCGGCUAAGGUCCCAAAUGAUAGAUUAAGUGGUAAACGAAGUGGGAAGGCACAGACAGCCAGGAUGUUGGCUUAGAAGCAGCCAUCAUUUAAAGAAAGCGUAAUAGCUCACUGGUCGAGUCGUCCUGCGCGGAAGAUGUAACGGGGCUCAAAUCUAUAACCGAAGCUGCGGAUGCCGGUUUACCGGCAUGGUAGGGGAGCGUUCUGUAGGCUGAUGAAGGUGCAUUGUAAAGUGUGCUGGAGGUAUCAGAAGUGCGAAUGUUGACAUGAGUAGCGAUAAAGCGGGUGAAAAGCCCGCUCGCCGAAAGCCCAAGGUUUCCUACGCAACGUUCAUCGGCGUAGGGUAAGUCGGCCCCUAAGGCGAGGCAGAAAUGCGUAGUCGAUGGGAAACAGGUUAAUAUUCCUGUACUUGAUUCAAAUGCGAUGUGGGGACGGAGAAGGUUAGGUUGGCAAGCUGUUGGAAUAGCUUGUUUAAGCCGGUAGGUGGAAGACUUAGGCAAAUCCGGGUUUUCUUAACACCGAGAAGUGAUGACGAGUGUCUACGGACACGAAGCAACCGAUACCACGCUUCCAGGAAAAGCCACUAAGCUUCAGUUUGAAUCGAACCGUACCGCAAACCGACACAGGUGGGCAGGAUGAGAAUUCUAAGGCGCUUGAGAGAACUCGGGAGAAGGAACUCGGCAAAUUGAUACCGUAACUUCGGGAGAAGGUAUGCCCUCUAAGGUUAAGGACUUGCUCCGUAAGCCCCGGAGGGUCGCAGAGAAUAGGUGGCUGCGACUGUUUAUUAAAAACACAGCACUCUGCCAACACGAAAGUGGACGUAUAGGGUGUGACGCCUGCCCGGUGCCGGAAGGUUAAUUGAAGAUGUGCAAGCAUCGGAUCGAAGCCCCGGUAAACGGCGGCCGUAACUAUAACGGUCCUAAGGUAGCGAAAUUCCUUGUCGGGUAAGUUCCGACCCGCACGAAUGGCGUAACGAUGGCCACACUGUCUCCUCCCGAGACUCAGCGAAGUUGAAGUGGUUGUGAAGAUGCAAUCUACCCGCUGCUAGACGGAAAGACCCCGUGAACCUUUACUGUAGCUUUGCAUUGGACUUUGAAGUCACUUGUGUAGGAUAGGUGGGAGGCUUGGAAGCAGAGACGCCAGUCUCUGUGGAGUCGUCCUUGAAAUACCACCCUGGUGUCUUUGAGGUUCUAACCCAGACCCGUCAUCCGGGUCGGGGACCGUGCAUGGUAGGCAGUUUGACUGGGGCGGUCUCCUCCCAAAGCGUAACGGAGGAGUUCGAAGGUUACCUAGGUCCGGUCGGAAAUCGGACUGAUAGUGCAAUGGCAAAAGGUAGCUUAACUGCGAGACCGACAAGUCGGGCAGGUGCGAAAGCAGGACAUAGUGAUCCGGUGGUUCUGUAUGGAAGGGCCAUCGCUCAACGGAUAAAAGGUACUCCGGGGAUAACAGGCUGAUUCCGCCCAAGAGUUCAUAUCGACGGCGGAGUUUGGCACCUCGAUGUCGGCUCAUCACAUCCUGGGGCUGUAGUCGGUCCCAAGGGUAUGGCUGUUCGCCAUUUAAAGUGGUACGUGAGCUGGGUUUAAAACGUCGUGAGACAGUUUGGUCCCUAUCUGCAGUGGGCGUUGGAAGUUUGACGGGGGCUGCUCCUAGUACGAGAGGACCGGAGUGGACGAACCUCUGGUGUACCGGUUGUAACGCCAGUUGCAUAGCCGGGUAGCUAAGUUCGGAAGAGAUAAGCGCUGAAAGCAUCUAAGCGCGAAACUCGCCUGAAGAUGAGACUUCCCUUGCGGUUUAACCGCACUAAAGGGUCGUUCGAGACCAGGACGUUGAUAGGUGGGGUGUGGAAGCGCGGUAACGCGUGAAGCUAACCCAUACUAAUUGCCCGUGAGGCUUGACUCUAU
rnacentral:rRNA from 15 species